UACGUAGGGUGCGAGCGUUAAUCGGAAUUACUGGGCGUAAAGGGUGCGCAGGCGGCGUCGCAAGUCAGGCGUGAAAUCCCCGGGCUUAACCUGGGAACUGCACUUGAAACUACGAUGCUGGAGUAUGGCAGAGGGAGGUGGAAUUCCACGUGUAGCGGUGAAAUGCGUAGAGAUGUGGAGGAACACCGAUGGCGAAGGCAGCCCCCUGGGUCAAGAUUGACGCUCAUGCACGAAAGCGUGGGGAGCAAACAGG
rnacentral:rRNA from 1 species